AAAAGGGGCACAGUGAUGACAGUACACUUUGAUACAACCAUUCUCCCAAGAGACGCGAUGACGAGUAUGUGCGUGACUCUGGAGGGAAAGGGUCUACAUCUGUCUCUGCUUGUGCCUCGGAUGGGUUUUACAGUAGACGUACCACUGACCCCGCCUCUUCACCAGAAUGUUGAUGCUCAAAGAACAGGAACCCCAGAACCCCAGGGAGGUAAGGAAGAAGAGCACAGCCAGGAUCAGAAGAGUGAAGAAACAAUGAUGUCCCACAGGUCACAGGGAGUAAGUAGCUGCUCUAGGGGUGAACCCAAGAGUGGUGAUUCACUGUCCAAACUACUGGCUGGAGGAGAGCUCGUGGUGGUCAUCUCUUCCCAACUAUGGCAGUGGCUAUGGCCUAACAGCUGGAGGCAGGAACAGGGCAGUGACAAGAAUCAGCAACUGCAUAGGGGCCUCAUCAAUUUCCAGUCCUCCAUCCAGAAGAGGACAGGACAUGCUCAAGCUGCCCCAAAGAGAAAGGACAAAGGAGAGGAAUUCUGAGAUGCAAGUCCCUAUGGAAGAGGGGACAGAGUUAAAUUCCAGCAGUCCAACAGACUAUGGCUAGAGCCAUAGUCUUCUCUUACCUGUAUCUUUAACGUUCAGCUUACUAUUGGUUCCUUAUUAUCUCCUGUUAGUGA
ensembl:lncRNA PCBP1-AS1 PCBP1 antisense RNA 1